rnacentral:pre_miRNA from 1 species
UAUAAUUUUUGACUCUUCGUCUUAUUCAUUUUUUUUGCGAUUGAUAUUUUUAUUUUUAUUAGAUGAUAAAUCAUGAAUAGUACUUUAUAUGUGACUAAUUUUUUUUUAAUUUCCUAAAAUUUUUUUAAAUAAGACGGAUGGUCAAACAUUGGACACGGAAACCGAAG